AGAUGGGCCCAAUAUAAUCACAAGGGUCUUUAAAAGUGGAAGCAGGAGGAGAAGAAGAGUCAGUCAGUGUCAGAGAGACAUGAUGUGAGACUCACCCUGCCAAUGCCGGCCUUGAAGAUACAAGGAGUCAAGAGCCAAGAAAUGCAGACAGCCUCUAGGAGCUAGAGAAGAUAAGGAAACAGUUUCUCCCCUAGAACUUCCAGGAAGAAAUACAUCCCUGUUGACAUCUUGAUUUUAGCCCAGGGAGUCUAUCAUCAGACUUCUGACCUCCAGGAUGGCCAAGCAUUUUUCUUAGGCUCUAGGAAAAUGUGGAUAAGAUAAAGUUCCUGCUUUCACAGAAGGCACAGGUAUUGACACAGGAGCCAAUGUUUCGCUGGUAAUCCCAAUGAAAGAGAAAUGACAAUGAUACAAACUGGGGACCCUUAUGAGAAGUGGACAUCUGGACCCCUGGAAUGUGCUCCUUCAUGUGGAGAAAAUAACCAUCAAAUAAUACAUAACUAUAGUUUAAAAAGCUCUCACGUGCAUUUCAGCUUUGGGCUAUGUGUGAGCUGCUCUCCAAAGAUGACUGUAACUAAUCUUUCCCUCCUUGUAUGUAUAUGUUUCACUUUCCAUCAAGAAGUAAAACAUACUUUCACUUACCUUGAAUCUGAGCUGGGUUUGCGACUACUUUAACCAAUAGAAUGUGUAGAAAACGAUGUUGUGGGAGCCCUGAGACCAGGCAUUAAGAAGACAUGGCAGGUUUCAACUUCUUCCGUCUUGUAAUGCUCACUUUGGGAUCCUUGAGCCACUGUAUAAGAAGUCUUUCUACCCUGUUGGAGCAGCCUUACAAGCAGGAGAUGCUCUAAGACUUCAGCCAGCAUCCCAGUUGAACUUCCAGAUGACGCCAGGCCCAACUGCCAUCUGCAGGUGGCAUGAAAGACCCAAAGAAAGACCAAUAAAACUGUCCAGCCAGCCAAGCAAAGCUACAGAACCAUGAGAAAUAAUAAAAUGGCUGUUUCAAGCCACUCAGUUUUAGUGUGACUUGCCAUUCGGCAAUAGGAAACUAGAAUAGGCUAUAAACUUCAUUUUCCCACUCCAUGGGGUGUUAAUGUGGAAUUGUGUUUGGCAGUAUUGUUCUGAAACAACAACAAAAAUGUGCCAAUGCUUUGUGCUGGAUGCCAACUGGCACGAGAAAACCAUGGAGCAGCCUGUUGAGGGGAAGAUUCAAAGAUUGCCCUUUGCUCUGAGUAAAGUACUUUGAUGAGUGUUGAAAUUAAAGCCAGUUCCAGGAUGGCAUAUCUAGAAGUCUGAGAAGCCCUGUUUGGUUUGUGGAGCACCUGGAAAGAGUUGCUAGACAGUGCAGAAUUACUGCUUCUGGUGGGAUAAGGCUGGGAAGGCAGGAUACAAUCCUAGACACCAUAAUUAGAGGAUAUUGUUCCGGAAAUCAGUAUACCCAAAUAGAGGCUAAAAAUACUUGAGCAUUUUUGCUGAGCCCAGCUGCUAGCAGGGCAUUUGGCUCAAGGCCUGGGACUCCCCCCCACCCCCCCACCGCCCGCCCUCAUUUUUAUGCUUUUUCUCUCUUCAAUGUUAUAUUCCUUCAGUGUAAGAACUAUGAAUUCUUUUUGUUUCCUUUAAAUUCAAGUAGAAGCAUUCCUUUUUUGAUGGAGUCCUGAGGUUUCAAGGGUGCAAUGGGGUCUAUUUAACCUGGAGAUGCUAGAAAUGUGCUCCUUCACACAGAGAAAAUAACCAUCAAAUAACUCAUAACUAUACCUUUAAAAAGCUAUCACAUGUAUAAUAAAAACUUUCAGGUUGGUGGCAUCACUCACCUUCACAGAGGAGGAAAGCAGGUAUAGAGAGGUUUUGACUUUGCCAAAGGCCACAUAAGUAUUAAAUGGGGAGCUGCGAUUUGAAUCCACUAAUUAUUGAUUCCUAAGAUGGAUACUGCAUACAGGGUAUUGUUCUUGGGUCCUUAUUAAUGGUGUCUACAUUAUGACUAAGGGCAAUAGGUGGGGUGGUCAGAGGAGGAGGUAGGCCUGGGAGCCUUCCAAAGAGGAGGCACCUGAUAGCCACUUUGAAGUCACAGGUAAACUUGGUUGUGAGGGGUGGGCUGUCAAGGCCAAGAGAACAGCACAAUGGAGUCAGGAAUGCUUGUGAUGGGUUUGAGAAUGCACGAGGCAUGAGUUUCUAGUAUUUCCUAAAGUAUUAUCUCAUUUUAUCCUCAUAAUAACCUUGCAAGCCUUUAGAGGAAAUAGAAGUCAAUCUCCUCUUUUUUCUUUUUCCUCACUAUUAACCCCCGUCCUUGUGUGUGUGCACGCACGCAUGACUGCCUUUGUUACCUUCAUUCGUGUAGUAAAUGCAAUAUACUCUUAUUCAUAUAUACACAACAUAUGUUGGUGCCUUGUCCAGCUCUCCUUGAUGGAACCAGCGUGUGCGUCCCCCAACUGCCAUAAAUCUUGGCUGCUAAGGGUUCACGGCUGGUCUUCUUCUCCAAAGAACCAUCAUCACUGGAGUAGCCUCUUUACCCAGAAGAAAUUAUUCCCUCCACCCUGGGGGCACCCAGUGCCUGAUAAUUGGGCUGGAAAGGAGGCUGACCCUCUUGUCUCAAGGGUCACUGCGAGGAUCAAGGAAGAGAAUGGAUGUCACAAUACUUUGAAAAGUCUGCCCUUCACUUCCUCCUGCACCGUUGGAACCACUUACCAGCAGGCAGAGAUCAGAGGAGGCAACGUUUCCAGCGGGGCGCCUUUUCCCCUCUCGACUUCCCCUCUUGCCUCAAACCCACUAUCCCAGAAGAAAGGCUGGCCCGGGCCCAGUGCACCUGGGACAGACAACCUGGGGCACGGGAGGCUGAGCCCGCCUGCACAAACACACCCUCCCCCACCACCCCGAUCUCCAGAUUGUGGUCCUGCCAUGGCUGUUUUCAGCUGAAAUAGCAUGAAAA
rnacentral:lncRNA from 1 species